GGCGUUGUGGCUUAGUUGGAUAAAGCGCCUGUCUAGUAAACAGGAGAUCGUGGGUUCGAAUCCCACCGAUGCGU
rnacentral:tRNA from 1 species